UACGUAGGGUGCGAGCGUUAAUCGGAAUUACUGGGCGUAAAGCGUGCGCAGGCGGUUUUGUAAGCCAGAUGUGAAAUCCCCGGGCUUAACCUGGGAAUGGCAUUUGGGACUGCAAGGCUGGAGUACGGCAGAGGAGACUGGAAUUCCUGGUGUAGCAGUGAAAUGCGUAGAGAUCAGGAGGAAUACCGAUGGCGAAGGCGGUGGUCUGGGCCAUUACUGACGCUGAGGAGCGAAAGCCAGGGGAGCAAACGGG
rnacentral:rRNA from 1 species